AGAGAGUGCCUCGCAAGAGGAGCCUGGUGACAGGUGCUGCAUGGCUGUCGUCAGCUCGUGUCGUGAGAUGUUGGUUAAGUCCCGCAACGAGCGCAACCCCUAUCUUUAGUUGCCAUCAUUGAGUUGGGCACUCUAAAGAGACUGCCGGUGUCAAACCGGAGGAAGGUGGGGAUGACGUCAAGUCCUCAUGGCCUUUAUGACCAGGGCUACACACGUACUACAAUGGCCGGUACAAAGGGCAGCGACACAGCGAUGUGAAGCCAAUCCCGAAAAGCCGGUCUCAGUCCGGAUUGGAGUCUGCAACUCGACUCCAUGAAGUUGGAAUCGCUAGUAAUCGCGGAUCAGCACGCCGCGGUGAAUACGUCCCUGCUCCUU
rnacentral:rRNA from 1 species